GAGUGGCGAACUGGUGAGUAACACGUGGGAAACCUGCCCAGAAGCGGGGGAUAACACCUGGAAACAGAUGCUAAUACCGCAUAACAACUUGGACCGCAUGGUCCGAGUUUGAAAGAUGGCUUCGGCUAUCACUUUUGGAUGGUCCCGCGGCGUAUUAGCUAGAUGGUGGGGUAACGGCUCACCAUGGCAAUGAUACGUAGCCGACCUGAGAGGGUAAUCGGCCACAUUGGGACUGAGACACGGCCCAAACUCCUACGGGAGGCAGCAGUAGGGAAUCUUCCACAAUGGACGAAAGUCUGAUGGAGCAACGCCGCGUGAGUGAAGAAGGGUUUCGGCUCGUAAAACUCUGUUGUUAAAGAAGAACAUAUCUGAGAGUAACUGUUCAGGUAUUGACGGUAUUUAACCAGAAAGCCACGGCUAACUACGUGCCAGCAGCCGCGGUAAUACGUAGGUGGCAAGCGUUGUCCGGAUUUAUUGGGCGUAAAGCGAGCGCAGGCGGUUUUUUAAGUCUGAUGUGAAAGCCUUCGGCUCAACCGAAGAAGUGCAUCGGAAACUGGGAAACUUGAGUGCAGAAGAGGACAGUGGAACUCCAUGUGUAGCGGUGAAAUGCGUAGAUAUAUGGAAGAACACCAGUGGCGAAGGCGGCUGUCUGGUCUGUAACUGACGCUGAGGCUCGAAAGUAUGGGUAGCAAACAGGAUUAGAUACCCUGGUAGUCCAUACCGUAAACGAUGAAUGCUAAGUGUUGGAGGGUUUCCGCCCUUCAGUGCUGCAGCUAACGCAUUAAGCAUUCCGCCUGGGGAGUACGGCCGCAAGGCUGAAACUCAAAGGAAUUGACGGGGGCCCGCACAAGCGGUGGAGCAUGUGGUUUAAUUCGAAGCUACGCGAAGAACCUUACCAGGUCUUGACAUACUAUGCAAAUCUAAGAGAUUAGACGUUCCCUUCGGGGACAUGGAUACAGGUGGUGCAUGGUUGUCGUCAGCUCGUGUCGUGAGAUGUUGGGUUAAGUCCCGCAACGAGCGCAACCCUUAUUAUCAGUUGCCAGCAUUAAGUUGGGCACUCUGGUGAGACUGCCGGUGACAAACCGGAGGAAGGUGGGGAUGACGUCAAAUCAUCAUGCCCCUUAUGACCUGGGCUACACACGUGCUACAAUGGAUGGUACAACGAGUUGCGAACUCGCGAGAGUAAGCUAAUCUCUUAAAGCCAUUCUCAGUUCGGAUUGUAGGCUGCAACUCGCCUACAUGAAGUCGGAAUCGCUAGUAAUCGCGGAUCAGCAUGCCGCGGUGAAUACGUUCCCGGGCCUUGUACACACCGCCCGUCACACCAUGAGAGUUUGUAACACCCAAAGUC
rnacentral:rRNA from 1 species